rnacentral:rRNA from 1 species
GACAGAGGGUGCAAACGUUUGUUCGGAUUUACUGGGCGUAAAGCGCGUGUAGGCGGCCUUGCAAGUCGGAUGUGAAAGCCCAACGGCUCAACCGUGGAAGUGCAUCCGAAACUGCAUAGCUUGAGUCUCGGAGAGGAAGGUGGAAUGCUUGGUGUAGAGGUGAAAUUCGUAGAUAUCAAGCAGAACACCUGCGGCGAAGGCGGCCUCUGGACGAUGACUGACGUGGAGACGCGAAAGCGUGGGGAGCAAACAGG